rnacentral:rRNA from 1 species
CCUACGGGAGGCAGCAGUGAGGAAUAUUGGUCAAUGGGCGAGAGCCUGAACCAGCCAAGUCGCGUGAGGGAGUACUGCCCUAUGGGUUGUAAACCUCUUUUGUCGGGGAGCAAAAGCCGGACGUGUCCGGCUGUGAGAGUACCCGAAGAAAAAGCAUCGGCUAACUCCGUGCAAGCAGCGGCGGUAAUACGGAGGAUGCGAGCGUUAGCCGGAUGUAUUGGGGUAAAUGGGUGCGCAGGCGGAUUUUUAAGUCAGCGGUAAACUCGUGGGGCUCAACCCCAUCCAGCCGUUGAAACUGGGGAUCUAGAGUGUGCGAGAGGUAUGCGGAAUGCGUGGUGUAGCGGUGAAAUGCAUAGAUAUCACGCAGAACCCCGAUUGCGAAGGCAGCAUACCGGUGCACAACUGACGCUCAGGCACGAAAGCGUGGGUAUCGAACAGGAUUAGAUACCCUGGUAGUC